UUCUCCGCCCUCCUCAGAUUAAGAUGAAAAGACUUAACAAUAGUCUUCUGUUCGCGGUUGGUUAGCAAGGGCGGGCGGCCAGAUCGAGCCUUUGAUUGGUUACUGCCAGUCGAGUUGCAGGUGUUAGUAAUGUUUUGGAUGAAGGAAUCGGCUCUACCAACAAGAGCACCAAUUACCCUAUAAGAUUUUCCUUCCAAAAAAAAUUUAUAAUUAUUCGUUCCUCAACAGAAAUUUGUUUGACCUUUUUAUUCAUGUUGAAAUUCUUUGGAACUUGAUGCACAAAUUUAGCUUCAACUGACUUGUCUUUAAACAGUUGUACGCAGACUUUUGGGCGUACACUUGUAGUGUUAAAUUUAAUAUUAUAUAUAAAAUAUAACCCCUCGUUGAAUAGUUCUGAAAAACACGUCAUUUAGGACAAUAAACUUAAGUUCCAUUGAAAAAAAAGAUUAAAUAAAAUACAUGCAUAAAUGGCCGAACAAUUCAUGUUAAAAGUUUCAUUUUAAAAUUUUUUGAGGGUGUACGCAUACACACUGAGAGUAAUUGUACAUUUUCUCAGGCAGACUACUUCUAGAAAAGGGCAGCGAGAUAAUACGCGUGACGAGGCGACACCUCCUGAACCAUAUUUAGCAAGCCAAUUUAUAAGGAUUCUCGCAAAAAAAAAGGAAAGGGCAUUCACGGUCGACAUUCAAGUGGUCGACAUGGUACGAACGGUCGUCAUGGUAAGGGCAAACGGUAGUGCCGAGCUAAAAUAAGGCGAAAAAAAGGAAGAGAACGACUACGAGCCAAACGUAAGCUGUUCGGACAAAAACAAAUUUGCCAAUUCACCAUUGCCUAAGGAAGGGGCGCCUUGAUUGGCAGGCGGUCGAUUGUCCCUGUACGAUAGUGGCGAUCGAUGGGCGCAAGAAAUACUGGAAAUAUUGUCAAAAGGUGAAACUUCGUAUUGAGCAGGUGGCAACGCUUUAUCAUCGGUAUCGAUAGACGAUCGCUCGCGGAUGAUGUAACCAAAGGGUGGGGGCACGAAAAGGAGAAGGAGGAACAAUGAGCCUCGAGAAUUUGAAAUCUACGAGGAAGACAGCGUGGGAAGGAGAAUAAAACGGAGGAUCGGCGUUUUAAAGCUCAUCGGCGAACUGUUGGCCAGAGAUAAGAACGAGAAUUCCUAAUUCCGUCUGAGGAUAAAACUGGAAAGAAGAGGAAGAGUCACAGGACUCAAAGGCUAUGAGGACUCACAGGAUAACAGCCAGAGAGAGAGAGAGAGAAUGAGCUUCUUUUCGUCACCCGAAGAAAGCACGGAAUGUGAGGAGUUAUAUAAAUCCGCAGGACAUCGUCAGUGAAACCAGCAGACACCAUCGAUCGCCGCGCGGACCUCGUUGGAGAGCGCAGGAACGCGUCGAAAGGCCAGAACGAGCAAUAUCAGCAGGCAGUGGAACCAGCGCGAGAAGGUACCGAGACCUGCCAAGGCACACACCCAAUGCAUUAGUAGCACGAGAAUAAAACGUCAUAUAAAUUUAGUUGGACAAACACAAAAUCUUCUGUAGAAGCCGCACGAACCUCG